ACCAAUUUAUCAGAACAGCAGAAGCUUGUUGCAUCAAACAGUUUCAAUGUUUAUUGCAGGCCUGUACAAAUCUACAACAAAAUCCAGUCUCGCCCAAGAUUCCUUCAGAGAUGCUUGUACCACAACAGAAAGGCUAAGCACAAGAAGAGGAUUCUAAUGACAGUUUUGCUGUCGUGGAAAGUAGAAGAAAUUCAAUCUCUUUUUCCUAUGUGUAUCUGUCUGGGAAG